AGAAGCAGCCAUCCUUUGAAGAAAGCAUAAUAGCUCAUUGGUCUAGAUCCAUGGCACCGAAAAUGUCUCGGGGCUCAAGUGAUUCACCAAAGCGAUGAGAUCUUGAAAGCAGCUUUUUCAAGUGUCAGUAGCGGGACGUUCUGUCAAUCGGGGAAGAUUUUUGGUGACAUGACCUGGAGAUAUCAGAAGUGAGAAUGCUGACAUGAGUAAUGAGAAAUCCUUUGAAAAACACAAUCGCCUGCCAGUGCAAGGCUUUAUGCGUUCAGUCAAUCUACGUAGAGUGAAUCGGUCCAUAAAAACCCCUGAAAAGGCUAUCGUCUGAUGGGUACACAAAGGUGACGAAGUAGCUUUGACUACAAAACCAUG
rnacentral:ncRNA from 1 species